CCUGGUACCCAGGGAUAAGCAGGGCUUGGAUGAGGCCCUGGUGUCUUGGAUGAGGAGGGCUGUCUGGACAGGAGAUCUUAUCUGCAGGAGCAGAGCAGGGAGGAGAAUUUGCAGUUGGGCCAUUUCAACAUUUCCCGUUUCACCAGAUGUCAAGACAGCACAGAUACCGGACCUUCACCUCAGGCCUUACGUCACACCAGGCCAGGGCUCAUCAGGUCUUAAAGAAACCCAAACGGGGACUUCUGGAUGAUGCAUUAUGGGUGGCUUUGAAGGCAAGACUGCUUGGAACUCAGAUCAGCAGACCCCGGCUCAAAGAAAGGGUCUUGGCUCGACAUCAAAAGAGUGGCAAGUCCGCGAACAUCCAUAUGUUCCAAGUUAAAAUUAAAUCUUUAAGGAUGAGAUGGAGUUGCUUGAACCCCACUGAGCACCCACCUUCACAGCAGGUCCCAAGAAGCAGCCUGGGGUGGGGAGUCACACCACUGCCCGACUGCUGCCCAUCCAGUGCUGCCUUUGCCCCAGGACCUGACCUGGCUCCAUGACCAGCCUCUCCUAUCUGCAUGGAUGUGUGGGGCAUCCUACCUCGACUGCUCCGUUUUCUGGGCUGCAGGAACCCAGGGCCAGGCUUGAACUCCGUCUAUAAUGGAGAUGGGGGUGGAAGCUAACAUGUCUGGUUUCUGUUGAGGGAAGUAGGUUCCAUGAAGCCAAGAAUUUCUCAAACACAGUAUGACUACUCCCAAGUGCCCAGCAGACAGGAACAUGGCCAGGGCUGAGGAGAGGCUGGACCAGGCCAUGAUGCAGCCAGUAAUGAAGGAGCACACAGCAUAAAUACAAGCUGGCCCGCAUUUGGGUGACAUCCUUUUAAAGAUGAAAAGACUACCUUAGUAGAAAAUGGCAUUCUUUUCCUUAGUUACUUGAAAGGGAAACACUUAUUCCCCUUUACUUUUCCUUAGUUUUUAUUUGGCCUUAUGGAAAUUCAUUCAUGCUUCAUCAUGGAAUCCCUGGUGUCCAGUAAAAUUCUCAGCACAUACUAGAUGCUUGACAGACAUUUAUUGGAUUGAUGGAUUGAUGUUCGUAGCGGCAUUGAUGGAGCUGGCAGAGCCUAUCCCAACAGAGUUCCAGAGCUGUCUGUCCUGGGGGCUGGGCAUGGGCUGCUGUGUCCCCACGGGCAGACAAACCUCACUGUGUACAGGUUCAGAACUCUCAUCUCCCAUAUUAGCCCCAGCCUCUUCCUGCCUGGUCCCCAAGGCCCAAAAGAUUGUAAUAGCUUCCUGCUGGCCCCUCAGCUUCUAGCCUCUCCCUACCUCCCUUCCUCCCCUCUUCUAAGAUACACAAUAUUUCUGUCCUAAAAUCCUUGUUCUCCAUCACCUGCAGGAAAGAACCCCAAAUCCACAGUUUUUUCUUAACAGUCCUUUCAGAAUUCAUCAUAAGAUGUAUUCCAAGCUUUAGGUGAGCCAUGGUGGCACACAUCUGUAAUCCCAGCAGCUCAGGAGGCUGAGGCAGGAGGACUGCAAGUUCAAAGACA